GACGAACGCUGGCGGCGUGCCUAAUACAUGCAAGUAGAACGCUGAAGAGAGGAGCUUGCUCUUCUUGGAUGAGUUGCGAACGGGUGAGUAACGCGUAGGUAACCUGCCUUGUAGCGGGGGAUAACUUCUGGAAACGAUAGCUAAUACCGCAUAACAAUGGAUGCCACAUGUUUCUUAUUUGAAAGAGGCAAUUGCUCCACUUCAUGAUGGACUUGCGUUGUAUUAGCUAGUAGGUGAGGUAACGGGUUACCUAGGCGACGGUACAUAGCCGGCCUGAGGGGGUGAUCCGCCACACUGGGAACGGGGCACGGCCCAGGAUCCUAAGGGGGGCAGCAGUAAGGGAUCUUCGGCAAUGGGGGCAAACCUGGACGGGCAACGCCGCGUGGGUGGAGGAGGUUUUCGGAACGGUAAGCUCUGUUGUUUGUCGAGGAAGAGUGUGGGAGUGAAAAGUUCACACCGUGACGGUAGCUAACCAGAAAGGCACGGCUAACUACGUG
rnacentral:rRNA from 1 species